rnacentral:rRNA from 1 species
GAUGAACGCUGGCGGCGUGCCUAAUACAUGCAAGUCGAGCGAACGGACGAGAAGCUUGCUUCUCUGAUGUUAGCGGCGGACGGGUGAGUAACACGUGGAUAACCUACCUAUAAGACUGGGAUAACUACGGGAAACCGGAGCUAAUACCGGAUAAUAUUUUGAACCGCAUGGUUCAAAAGUGAAAGACGGUCUUGCUGUCACUUAUAGAUGGAUCCGCGCUGCAUUAGCUAGUUGGUAAGGUAACGGCUUACCAAGGCAACGAUGCAUAGCCGACCUGAGAGGGUGAUCGGCCACACUGGAACUGAGACACGGUCCAGACUCCUACGGGAGGCAGCAGUAGGGAAUCUUCCGCAAUGGGCGAAAGCCUGACGGAGCAACGCCGCGUGAGUGAUGAAGGUCUUCGGAUCGUAAAACUCUGUUAUUAGGGAAGAACAUAUGUGUAAGUAACUGUGCACAUCUUGACGGUACCUAAUCAGAAAGCCACGGCUAGCUACGUG